rnacentral:rRNA from 1 species
UACGUAGGGAGCAAGCGUUGUCCGGAAUCAUUGGGCGUAAAGCGCGCGUAGGUGGCCCGGUAAGUCCGCUCUGAAAGUCACAGGCUCAACCUGUGAAAGCGGGUGGAUACUGCCGGGCUAGAGUCCGGAAGAGGCGAGUGGAAUCCUGGUGUAGCGGUGGAAUGCGCAGAUAUCAGGAGGAACGCCGGUGGCGAAGGCGGGUCUCUGGGCCGAUACUGACGCUGAGGAGCGAAAGCGUGGGGAGCGAACAGG